rnacentral:rRNA from 1 species
UUGGAGAGUUUGAUCCUGGCUCAGGACGAACGCUGGCGGCGUGCUUAACACAUGCAAGUCGAACGAAGAGCGAUGGAAGCUUGCUUCUAUCAAUCUUAGUGGCGAACGGGUGAGUAACGCGUAAUCAACCUGCCCUUCAGAGGGGGACAACAGUUGGAAACGACUGCUAAUACCGCAUACGAUCCAAUCUCGGCAUCGAGACUGGAUGAAAGGUGGCCUCUAUUUAUAAGCUAUCACUGAAGGAGGGGAUUGCGUCUGAUUAGCUAGUUGGAGGGGUAACGGCCCACCAAGGCGAUGAUCAGUAGCCGGUCUGAGAGGAUGAACGGCCACAUUGGGACUGAGACACGGCCCAGACU